rnacentral:rRNA from 1 species
AUACGAGGGGUGCAAGCGUUAAUCGGAAUUACUGGGCGUAAAGCGUUCGUAGGCGGUUUGUUAAGCAAGAUGUGAAAGCCCUGGGCUCAACCUGGGAACUGCGUUUUGAACUGGCAAGCUAGAAUACUGUAGAGGGUGGUGGAAUUUCCAGUGUAGCGGUGAAAUGCGUAGAGAUUGGAAGGAACAUCAGUGGCGAAGGCGGCCACCUGGACAGAUAUUGACGCUGAGGAACGAAAGCGUGGGGAGCGAACAGGAUUAGAUACCCCGGUAGUCC